rnacentral:rRNA from 1 species
CAGGCCUAACACAUGCAAGUCGAACGAUGAUUGCGGAGCUUGCUCUGCAUGAUUAGUGGCGCACGGGUGAGUAUACCAUAGAUAAUGUACCCCUUAGUUCGGGAUAGCCACUGGAAACGGUGAUUAAUACCGGAUACUCCUUCUUGUCUCAAGGCAAGUCGGGAAAGUUUUUUCGCUAAGGGAUCAGUCUAUGUCCUAUCAGCUAGUUGGUGAGGUAAUGGCUCACCAAGGCUAUGACGGGUAUCUGGUUUGAGAGGAUGAUCAGACACACUGGAACUGAGACACGGUCCAGACUCCUACGGGAGGCAGCAGUGAGGAAUAUUGCACAAUGGAGGAAACUCUGAUGCAGCAACGCCGCGUGGAGGAUGACGCAUUUCGGUGUGUAAACUCCUUUUAUUAGGGAAGAUAAUGACGGUACCUAAUGAAUAAGCACCGGCUAACUCCGUGCCAGCAGCCGCGGUAAUA